GUGCUCACUUUGGCAGCACAUGUACUAGAAAACUGGAAUGACACAGAGAAGAGUAACACAGACCCUGCACAAAGAUGAUGGGAAAAUUUGUGAAGCGUUCCAUAUUUUU
rnacentral:snRNA from 1 species